rnacentral:rRNA from 1 species
UACGUAGGGUGCAAGCGUUGUCCGGAAUUAUUGGGCGUAAAGAGCUCGUAGGCGGUCUGUCGCGUCGGCUGUGAAAUCCCGCGGCUCAACUGCGGGUCUGCAGUCGAUACGGGCAGGCUAGAGUUCGGUAGGGGAGACUGGAAUUCCUGGUGUAGCGGUGAAAUGCGCAGAUAUCAGGAGGAACACCGGUGGCGAAGGCGGGUCUCUGGGCCGAUACUGACGCUGAGGAGCGAAAGCGUGGGGAGCGAACAGG